GCGGGCUGCUUCCCGGGUGUGGGCGUGUGUUUUGUUGGACCUUGACCCGGCUGGGAAAUCUCCUUUUCUCCUUGCAGUUCGCGCCGCUGUGUCCCGAGCGUCACUGGUGUCGCACCGUCAGGGCUCAGCCUUCGAGCCCGUACCGGAGGCUUGUGAGAGGCUCACCUGGAGCCCCGGGCCGGGAGUCAUUGGGUGUGAAGGGCGCUUUCUGGGCGGCGUGCGCUUGGAUUUCGUUAAUACGGCACCUAAGUGGCAGAUAGAGUCAGGGACCGAUGGAAGUUGUUUUGAACGCACCGAGAAUUUGUUCUCCUCCGGCUUCUAGUUUGCGUUUCAAUCCCCAAACUGUCAGUGUUGUAGGGAGACUUAUUAAUGGUGCCGUACUGGCCUCAUUUUGUUUUGCUUAAAGUCGUAUCUUCAGAUAAUUUAGGAUGGGGGGUUGAGGUCCAGAAGAAAUGAGACAGCUAGGGUUUUUCAGGGACACCAGCAUUACCAGUCCAAGCGCGCUGCCCAGAACCGUGGCAGAUGGAGGAGAGAGCUACUCUGACGCGUCUUGGUCUUCGGCGCCCUCCUCAAGCGCUCCUGUAAAUCUCGGUUUUUGUGUGUAGCUGGCCUUAAAAUCAGGUAUAAGGCGUGGAUUAGUAAACGCCUAGUCCAGUGAAAAAGAAGACUCCUAGAAGAAUUGCAUGAUUUGCCCAAGGUCAUACAAUGAAUUAAAGGCGUAAAAUGAAGAAAACUCUGGUCUCCUGAGAGCAAGGCAUGUGCUCCUGCUGUGGUACAGUAUUGCUUCCCAACUCUACACUUGGGCAUGGAUAUGAAAUCAGUGAAGACAAUAGUCAAGUGUAUUCUGAUAAGACUUGAGUGUUUAAUUCAUUACAUGCAGAGCAUCCAUUUAUAUGGCAGUGGGCCAGGCCGAAUAUUCAAUAUACCAGUGAGAGACACACAGUUUGUCAACAGUCAUGGCCUCUUAACAUCAGCUAGCUAGAGAGACCCCACCUGCCCACCUUCGGGUAACAGGCCCUUUCUCCUUCCCCAUCCCUUUCAUAGUUCCCUUCUCUCUAGUAGUUUAUUCUGAAGUCAAAGGAAGAGUUUUUCUCAUAGGUGCUCUGGAGUCAAUCAGCAUGCAAUCCGUACCUCCAACUGUCUUCUAGAUUAUUUGGGUCCAAAUUUGAAUCUCUUUGCUUAGAACUCCUUCUAUGUCAGCUAGUAGUCACUUUGGGUUGUUUUGAAAUCAAUUGCUACUCUCAUAUUCUAGUGGUUAGGGGGCCCCCGCUAGGGGAAGAAUUCUGUGCCCUCCAUGAUCACACUGGUCCAAACAUGGACGUAGACUCAUCCUUUUAAUUUAUUGGAGCAUAGUUUAGAUUACCAAAAUUUGCGCAGGAUGCUAGAUGUGACCACUGUAGCAUGGAGAUAAUGAGACAAUAAUAACAUUUACCUAUGGCUUUGUUGUCAGGAUAAAUGAUUAAACACUUAAUCAAGUGCUUAGUAUAAUAUAAAAGCAAGUUCUUAGUGUAAUAUUGUUACAGUAUAAUUCCUAUAAUGUAUUAUAUAUACUAUGCUAUAAUUAUCUAUAAUACCAUAAAUGUAAUAUAAAUAUUAGCUUUUAUUAUCCACAGACUGACGGGGAUUUUCAUCACCAAAUUAUUCUUUGCUUUGUAGUCCAUCCCUUGCAUCCUGUGAAAAACACUAGCUUUUUCAGAAUUCUACCUCUUAGACGUGCACUCAGGUGCACUCCACUCUGCUACUUGAAGUCGGGUUCUGUGAAAGUGGGCCUACGUAGAGGAAAGAGCUCUCCAGCUCUCACGCCCUUCUGUCCCACCGUCUGCCUCUUUCCAGGAUGGUUGGAAAUGAGAAUAUCCACUGACUUAUGGGGAGGGGAGACCUCACCGCCUACCACCUAGGAUGUUUGUCCUGGGAACCAAUAGAACAAUCUCAUCAUGACACAAUAAUUCAGUGUCAUUAUCGUUGCUAAAGUCUUAUUUAUUCAGCCUUAAGUAAUACUGUGUGAAAGACCAAUAGUACGGUCCAGGUUUCACUUGACCCAGCAUUGCCUAGCUCUUUUGUACAUAUUUACCUCUUUGCGAAGUCAAGAGGUGAGUGCACCAAGCCUCGUUAGUGCUCAACAAUGCCUUAAACACAAGCAUACUGCCAUAAGAGUAAGUAACACUCUGGGCACAUCACGGCUUAACUUCCUACUUAAAAAACAAACAUUUCUCCAAAAAAAAAAAGUCCAAAUGAACCAACUCUGCCUGCAAUGCAAAGAACCUUUGCACUAUUGUACAGAGUGGUUUAGCUCCUUAAAAUUACUGCUGGCAAAUGGCUUGAUUUCUGCAUUGGUCCUUUACUUUACAUUUGUGUAACUAAAAAGCUAAAGGGACCAUUUAAGUGAUUUUCCAAGAACAAAGGCAUGCAAAGACGUGCUUAAAGAUAAAGGGGAAUGUAGAAGGGGAAAUUACUUAAUUUUUGGCUCAAUCACCAGUGCCCCAUUUAUUCUGACCUUUGGGAGUGUGAUGAUCUUUGUUAAUUGGUCAGUAUCACAGAGUACAAUACACACUAAGUGAUUUGCUUCCUUAUUGGCUCACCCAAUAUUUACAUUUCACAAAGACAGAGAUUAAUAAGAACAGUUAUAUGAUUAAUAAGGAGUGUUUCCACCUGGUGGAGUUUGUUCCAGAUCUCUCUUUCCUGGUCAGAAACCGCACUAGUAAUGUGAACAGGGAAAAUUUAACACAAGGAGUCAUUAAGGAGUUAGCAAGAAGGGAUGAAGAAAAGAAAGCCUGGAUGAACUGAUUUUUAGAGAGAAAUGAGGCAUUCAUGAAUGAACAGAAAGACUCAGCAGUUUUCUACUGGGGUAGGCACCUGGACUAAAUAUGGGCAGCUGGAGAAUUAGCCUGCCAAAGAUGGAGAUGAGGAGAAACCAACCAAGAUGUAGACAGCCUGUGGGCUUGUGGGAUGCACUGGAAUCUGGAAGAAGACUGCAGUAGAUUGAGUUUUCCAAAAAUGGCCUUAAUAGUAUCUCCCAUCCUACAUUCUUUUUCCAAAAAUGUGACAUUUGCCUCCCUCCCAUCGAAUGGUAUUGUCCAUGAUCCUUGCUUUGAAUCUGGUCAAGUUUGUGACAAUGGCGGAAAUAAUGAUAUGUGAAUUCUGAGGCCAAGUCAUAAAAGGUGAUACAGCUUCUGCCUGGCCCUCUUGGGAGACAUGACUUUGCAACCCUGACUGCAAUGUAAGGAAUCCACUGCUGCUGUGCUGUGAGGAAGGGUCAUGUGGAGGUGUUCUGGAUCAUCCCAAGCUGAGUUCCCAGCCAGCAGUCAGGAUCAACCAGCAGGCGUGUCAUUGGAGCCACCUCUAGAGGAUUCCUGCUCCCUGCCAUUGUGUCACCUUCAGUCUGAUCCACAUAAUCCCUGAAUGUACUAAAAUAUUUUUGUUUCAAAUAGUAUUGUUUUAUUUCAAUUUAAAUGUCUUCAUUUCAAAUGUUUAAACUGCUAAAUUUGGGGUAACAUGAUGGAACAAUAAAUAACCAGAAUAAGCUCCAGAUUUGAAAAUAAAUUACUCACCUUGACAAUUCUCCCCUCCAUGUAUACCACUCACACCCAAAUAUUGCCAAGAAAGCAGCAGUGGAGGAAAGCCUGGACAUAGAGAUUGAACGCAUAUUCCUCUGCAUCCUCACAGUGCUUGGAUUGUGGGCCCUAUCAGAGUUGAGUCUAACGAUGAGCCAAAAUUAUCUGAAGGUAACCCAACCUCCUCCCACCUCAGAUUUUUAAAAAAUUAAAGACAGAGUUAAUGCGUUGGUAGUUAGGCUAAUUAUGGGUGAAUUAAAGCUAAAAAACCAAGUGUGA
ensembl:lncRNA